rnacentral:antisense_RNA from 1 species
CUUUUUGCUCACCCCACCUGGUACUCCAUGUCGUAGCUGGGCAGGAUGAUCCGCCCGUGCUUCCACUCGCCGCCCUGGUCCUCGCGGAUGACCCACAGCAGCUUGCUCUCCUGGCUGGCUUCCCGCACCACCUGCAGCGCCACCCCGCGGCCGCCCGUGGCCUGGGACUGUGAAUAUCCUGGACUUGUCAGGGUAGAUGGGCUAGGAUUCUAGAGCCUAGAAUCAAUGCAAUACUCCCUGGACCGCUGCUUUGCUGUUGUUAAUCCUGCUGACCUCAACUUUCUAGCAUUUACUGACUGUACUGCUGAUUUUAUGUUUUUAAAAGGACUUCAGGCCAUUUUCCAUGGAUUUCAGCAGUUUCACAAAUAAGACCCACUUGCUGC